AAGAACGGACCUCUGGAAUGAAUUAAGUACGUAACCAGAGGUACCACUGUGAACACAAUUGAAAAUCCUGAUAGGUUAAAAGUCAGCUCAAGCAUACUCUGUAAAGCACAUCUGCUAUUUUAAAGUAUGCAAUUCUUUAAAAUUACUGUACAGUGGUACCUCGGGUUAAGUACUUAAUUCAUUCCAGAU